rnacentral:rRNA from 1 species
UACGAAGGGAGCUAGCGUUGUUCGGAAUCACUGGGCGUAAAGCGCACGUAGGCGGAUGUGUCAGUCAGGGGUGAAAUCCCGGAGCUCAACUUCGGAACUGCCUUUGAUACUGGCCGUCUGGAGGGAGGUAGGGGCGUGCGGAACUUUGGGUGGAGCGGUGAAAUGCGUAGAUAUCCAAAGGAACACCGGUGGCGAAAGCGGCGCGCUGGACCUCUACUGACGCUGAGGCGCGAAAGCCAGGGGAGCAAACGGG